GAUGAACGCUAGGGGCAUGCUUAACACAUGCAAGUCGAACGAUUCUAACAUUUUGUUUACAAAGUGUAAGGAAAGUGGCGGACGGGUGAGUAACGCGUAAGAACCUGCCCUUAGGAGGGGGAUAACAACUGGAAACGGUUGCUAAUACCCCAUAUGCUGAGGAGUAAAACGGUAACAACCGCCUAAGAAUGGGCUUGCGUCUGAUUAGCUUGUUGGUAAGGUAAAAGCUUACCAAGGCGACGAUCAGUAGUUGGUCUGAGAGGAUGAUCAGCCACACUGGGACUGAGACACGGCCCAGACUUCUACGGAAGGCAGCAGUGAGGAAUUUUCCGCAAUGGGCGAAAGCCUGACGGAGCAAUGCCGUGUGGAGGAAGAAGGCCUACGGGUUGUAAUCUCCUUUUCUCGGAAAAGAAAAUUUGACGGUAUCUGAAGAAUAAGCAUCGGCUAACUUCCGUGCCAGCCGCCGCCGUAACAC
rnacentral:rRNA from 1 species